rnacentral:lncRNA from 1 species
AAUGAGAAAAAUGAGCUAUAUGCUUGCAACUUGUGGCUAUACUAGAGGACUAACUUAUAAAUGUCCAGAUAGUAGAUCAACUGAAACAAGCUUUUCAGAUAAGCUGACUGUGACAAAAACAAAAUUCUGAAUUUUAUGUAGGUAUUUUAAAUGAUUUCUUAUUAUCUUGUAGUUCUUUUGUGAAUUCCAGCUCAUGUCCAAGGGGAAAAGAUAUAGGCUUGACCUAACAUGCUAGAGGUGGAAUUAAGGUAAUGUCCUUUGGAGUAAGAGCUGGGUGGUAUUGACAUUGUAAGAAAAGCAAGAUGAUGCUAAGGAAUAGGACAAUGGCUGAAUCAUAGCUAGUUAUUAACCUAGAGAUUCUUCUGUUUCUGUUCAUUGUAGAUGGCAGUGUUUGGUUUGAUAAUUAGUAAUCCCUUUUGUAAAGGAGGAAAAACUAAUUCAGUUUCAUGUCUAAAUUCAAAAUUACGGCUUUUACUCUUCUAAAUCCACAAGUAUGGACAAAUAUGAGAUCUUCUCAGAGAGAUAGAGACUUAAGAAUAAGCAUCUUUAGAGAAAGAUUUUCCUGUUGGUUUGUAAGUGAGGAAACAAAUAAGCGAGCACACAUGUGAGCAUGCAUAUAUAUCCACUUAGAAACAGAUUUGACUAAAAUCUUUUGGAUACUGCACAGAUGGUAAGGCGAUGAGGAUUGAAGAAUCACAAGAAUCAUAAUGAUGUUCUUACAACUAAUCUUAAAUUUUCUAAUCCAAAGAAAUACUCUUCUCACAUAACAAGGACAAAUAUUACAAUAAGACAAACAUUUAUUUUAUAUGUCUAAGAUUUUUCAUUUUGAUUGCUCUGACAAAUUCAUGGACUGGAAGAGGACUCUACAUAACAUGGGGUCUGUGAUGUAUAGGAGAAUGCAGGAAGCAUAAAAACUGACAAUUUAUAAAAUUAAGUUGUGAAAGUUACUAAGAACAACGUUACUAAAACAGAUAACAAUUUGAAGCUUAUGUAACAUGAUCAAGUCAAUAACUAACCUUCCAUUUGAAAUCAAGCAAGGCUAUUUACCUUAAUAUUUAUGAUUAGAGUAAAAAUUACAUCAUGUGAGUGCAAUGAUCUCCAUUGUG